GAAACCGAGAAAAUCCACCUGAGUAGAAAGCUGUGGAAUGAGUUUUCUAAGUGUGUAUCAGACCUUAAAGCGAUAGUACAGCUAUGCACGGCCAGGAGGAAUGGACAGGACCCGAACAUGUCAUUAUUACUUGGUCUUAGAGGUCCAUCGUUAUGUGGUGACGAGUUUAUUACAGAUGACGUAUCCGGUUUAACGGCCAGUA